rnacentral:tRNA from 2 species
UGCCCGCUCGUCUAACGGUAGGACACGAGAUUCUGGAUCUUGAGAUUGGGGUUCGAAACCCUGGCGGGCAGCCA